UAACCAAUGUAAGUGCAUUUCCUCCCUACAGUUCGACCAAUCAGAGGCAAGGGGGCAGUCCACGGCAUACAAAUAAGCAGCUGUGCUCCGACUGAUCAACACAUCCGCCAAGACCUCAUCCUCAUCACAGACAGACAUCUUGGCCCUCGAUCGAUACCAGUAGGCCUACACAUCUACAGAAACAGGACAAGUGCAUCCAAUUCAGGGAGAGAGAGAGAGACGGGCCCUUGCAACAUGUAUGCAGUGCGGGUGGCCUGGCUACUUCUGCUCUGUGGGGUCUGCCUGACAUGUAAGUUUUCAUUGAAGCAGAUAGAAAAGUUUUUUACAGUAGGUGUGGCUUU